rnacentral:rRNA from 1 species
GGCUCAGGACGAACGCUGGCGGCGUGCCUAAUACAUGCAAGUCGAGCGAAUCGGAGGGAGCUUGCUCCCAAAGAUUAGCGGCGGACGGGUGAGUAACACGUGGGCAACCUGCCUGUAAGACUGGGAUAACUUCGGGAAACCGGAGCUAAUACCGGAUAAUCCUUUUCCUCUCAUGAGGAAAAGCUGAAAGACGGUUUCGGCUGUCACUUACAGAUGGGCCCGCGGCGCAUUAGCUAGUUGGUGAGGUAACGGCUCACCAAGGCAACGAUGCGUAGCCGACCUGAGAGGGUGAUCGGCCACACUGGGACUGAGACACGGCCCAGACUCCUACGGGAGGCAGCAGUAGGGAAUCUUCCGCAAUGGACGAAAGUCUGACGGAGCAACGCCGCGUGAGCGAAGAAGGCCUUCGGGUCGUAAAGCUCUGUUGUCAGGGAAGAACAAGUGCCGGAGUAACUGCCGGCACCUUGACGGUACCUGACCAGAAAGCCACGGCUAACUACGUGCCAGCAGCCGCGGUAAUACGUAGGUGGCAAGCGUUGUCCGGAAUUAUUGGGCGUAAAGCGCGCGCAGGCGGUCCUUUAAGUCUGAUGUGAAAGCCCACGGCUCAACCGUGGAGGGUCAUUGGAAACUGGGGGACUUGAGUGCAGAAGAGGAGAGUGGAAUUCCACGUGUAGCGGUGAAAUGCGUAGAGAUGUGGAGGAACACCAGUGGCGAAGGCGACUCUCUGGUCUGUAACUGACGCUGAGGCGCGAAAGCGUGGGGAGCGAACAGGAUUAGAUACCCUGGUAGUCCACGCCGUAAACGAUGAGUGCUAAGUGUUAGAGGGUUUCCGCCCUUUAGUGCUGCAGCAAACGCAUUAAGCACUCCGC